rnacentral:rRNA from 1 species
ACCAGACUCCUACGGGAGGCAGCAGUGAGGAAUAUUGGUCAAUGGGCGGGAGCCUGAACCAGCCAAGUCGCGUGAGGGAAGACGGUCCUACGGAUUGUAAACCUCUUUUGCCGGGGAGCAACGGGGUCCUUGCGAGGGCCCGAUGAGAGUACCCGGAGAAAAAGCAUCGGCUAACUCCGUGCCAGCAGCCGCGGUAAUACGGAGGAUGCGAGCGUUAUCCGGAUUUAUUGGGUUUAAAGGGUGCGUAGGCGGGUCUUUAAGGCAGGGGUAAAAAGCCGGGGGCCAACCCCGGGCGAGCCGUUGAAACUGGCUGUCUUGAGAUGUCGAGAGGUAUGCGGAAUGCGCAGUGUAGCGGUGAAAUGCAUAGAUAUCACGCAGAACUCCGAUUGCGAAGGCAGCAUACCGGCGCGCAACUGACGCUCAUGCACGAAAGCGUGGGUAUCGAACAGGAUUAGAUACCCGUGUAU